rnacentral:rRNA from 1 species
GACGAACGCUGGCGGCGUGCUUAACACAUGCAAGUCGAACGGAAAGGCCCUGCUUUUGUGGGGUGCUCGAGUGGCGAACGGGUGAGUAACACGUGAGUAACCUGCCCUUUACUUUGGGAUAACUUCAGGAAACUGGGGCUAAUACCGGAUAGGAGCUCCUGCUGCAUGGUGGGGGUUGGAAAGUUUCGGCGGUUGGGGAUGGACUCGCGGCUUAUCAGCUUGUUGGUGGGGUAGUGGCUUACCAAGGCUUUGACGGGUAGCCGGCCUGCGAGGGUGACCGGCCACAUUGGGACUGAGAUACGGCCCAGACUCCUACGGGAGGCAGCAGUGGGGAAUAUUGCACAAUGGGCGGAAGCCUGAUGCAGCAACGCCGCGUGCGGGAUGACGGCCUUCGGGUUGUAAACCGCUUUCGCCUGUGACGAAGCGUGAGUGACGGUAAUGGGUAAAGAAGCACCGGCUAACUACGUG